rnacentral:tRNA from 1 species
AUUAGCUCAGUUGGGAGAGCACCUCCCUUACAAGGAGGGGGUCACUGGUUCGAGCCCGGUAUCGCCCACCA